GACGAACGCUGGCGGCGUGCUUAACACAUGCAAGUCGAACGGUAAGGCUCCAGCUUGCUGGGGUACACGAGUGGCGAACGGGUGAGUAACACGUGGGUGACCUGCCCUGCACUUCGGGAUAAGCCUGGGAAACUGGGUCUAAUACCGGAUAGGACCAUGGGGUGGAUACUGUGGUGGAAAGUUUUUUCGGUGUGGGAUGGGCCCGCGGCCUAUCAGCUUGUUGGUGGGGUAAUGGCCUACCAAGGCGGCGACGGGUAGCCGGCCUGAGAGGGUGGACGGCCACAUUGGGACUGAGACACGGCCCAGACUCCUACGGGAGGCAGCAGUGGGGAAUAUUGCACAAUGGGCGGAAGCCUGAUGCAGCGACGCCGCGUGGGGGAUGACGGCCUUCGGGUUGUAAACUCCUUUCACCAUCGACGAAGGGUUUCUGACGGUAGAUGGAGAAGAAGCACCGGCUAACUACGUG
rnacentral:rRNA from 1 species